AGGGAGUAAGUCUAGCAGGGAGGCAGGCUUGGUCUCCCAGUUGCUGAAACACAAAAUGUUGAGGGGCUAAUUCUACCUGCUAGGUUACAGCUUAUGGUGAAAAUUGGAUGCAGAUAGCAGAAGAGAACUCAAAGAAUAUCACCAAUACAGAAAGCUAAUAGUGUUCACCCUUCUGGGCUGUUGUCAGGAUGUCUGGUUAAGUGAAGCUUGUGUCCUCUGGACUGUGGACCACAAAAGACAGGAAGACCU
rnacentral:lncRNA from 1 species